rnacentral:rRNA from 1 species
CGACCCCAGGUCAGGUGGGACUA